rnacentral:rRNA from 1 species
AUACGGGAGGCAGCAGUAGGGAAUUUUCGGCAAUGGGGGAAACCCUGACCGAGCGACGCCGCGUGAGGGAUGAAGGCCUUCGGGUUGUAAACCUCUGUCUAGAGGGACGAUAAUGACGGUACCUCUGGAGGAAGCCACGGCUAACUACGUGCCAGCAGCCGCGGUAAGACGUAGGUGGCGAGCGUUGUCCGGAAUUACUGGGCGUAAAGGGCGUGUAGGCGGCCUUUUAAGUCAGACGUGAAACCCCUGGGCUCAACCCUGGGACUGCGUUUGAAACUGGGAGGCUUGAGGACAGGAGAGGAAAGCGGAACUCCGUGUGUAGCGGUGAAAUGCGUAGAUAUACGGAAGAACACCAGUGGCGAAGGCGGCUUUCUGGACUGUCCCUGACGCUGAGGCGCGAAAGCCAGGGGAGCGAACGGGAUUAGAUACCCCGGUAGC